CCUACGGGUGGCAGCAGUGGGGAAUAUUGCACAAUGGGCGCAAGCCUGAUGCAGCCAUGCCGCGUGUGUGAAGAAGGCCUUCGGGUUGUAAAGCACUUUCAGCGGGGAGGAAGGCGUUAAGGUUAAUAACCUUGGCGAUUGACGUUACCCGCAGAAGAAGCACCGGCUAACUCCGUGCCAGCAGCCGCGGUAAUACGGAGGGUGCAAGCGUUAAUCGGAAUUACUGGGCGUAAAGCGCACGCAGGCGGUCUGUCAAGUCGGAUGUGAAAUCCCCGGGCUCAACCUGGGAACUGCAUUCGAAACUGGCAGGCUAGAGUCUUGUAGAGGGGGGUAGAAUUCCCGGUGUAGCGGUGAAAUGCGUAGAGAUCUGGAGGAAUACCGGUGGCGAAGGCGGCCCCCUGGACAAAGACUGACGCUCAGGUGCGAAAGCGUGGGGAGCAAACAGGAUUAGAUACCCGUGUAGUC
rnacentral:rRNA from 1 species